GAAAAUAUGAUUCGCAUGCAAGGAAGCAUUUAUAAUCAUCUUUUGCGUACGAUCAAUGUAACUUUAAAAAUAAUGUGUUUCUUUAAGCUUCUUGUUCGCUAUGUUAACAUAUUCUUUCGUUUAUAGGUUGAUUCGUUUGUCUAGGAAAAAAGAUGAGCUACCAUAGUCAGAAGAGGCGAAUCAACGUAAAAGGUCCUGCUUGAGAGAACUACCUACCGUUUCGUGAAAUUGGUUUAUAUUGCCCCAUCAUACGCUUUCGCGUGAGAGACUGUUCUGAAGGGACUUCAAUAAAAAUCAACUUUAGAAAUUAAUUUACGAACAAUUAUGUACCUUACCCAUUAUAUAAAUAUCAGAGAAAAAUAGUUGGAAAAAUGUCCUUAACCCAAAGGAAAUUGAAGGGAUGACGAUAGUGCAUAGGGAGAAUAUAAAGGAAGAUAAUGUUUUGUAUUUUAAG
rnacentral:lncRNA from 1 species